CGUGGUCUUCAUUAUCUGAUCCACAGGUAGCACUCGACAACUCCCUGACUGGUUUCUCAAGAUACCGUCUCUCUCUCUGCUUAAUCUCUUUGUUGGUGGGCUACUUAAUAGUACACAGGGCAGAUUUACAGAUCUCCCAGAAAUCUGGAGCGACAGGCCUGGGGAGCCUGGCCCCGGGAACGGCGGGCCUGGAUAAGACGGUCACAGGCCCUGAGUUCUAAGCGAUCCACAUGCAGCACAUGCUCAGUAAAGUGGGAACUUUCAUCACUGAAGUGGAAACACGGAUCCAACACCUGGGGAUGGGGACUGGGCACGAUGGUGGCUGUUUGCACGGCCAGCGCCACUGGAGAGGAACCGGCAAGGGUAACUGGUACGAACUGAUGUCAAAAGGGUGAGGGGUGGACUCUGGGCCACAUAAGGCACAGAGCCACCGUAAGGACUCCUAUCCUGAGUGAUCGAGGAGUCACUGUGGUGUUGUGAACAAGCCUGGCUUGUUGGGGACAGUCUAGAAAAUGGGCUGCGGCUGGUCAGUGGAGAAGCCGGAGGACCAGGCAGCAGGUGAAACCUAAGUCAAGGUCAGGGAGGCUGCGGCCUGAAGCAGCGUGGUGGGGAUGCGCUGUAUUUUGGGGUUCUGGUAUAUUUUAAAGGAAGUGUCAAUUGCAUCUGCUGCUGGAUUGGAUGUGGAAGGGAGAGGAAGGGAAGACUCAAGGUGGACUCCAAGGUUUCCAUGAGCAACUGGUGGAACCGAGCCAGUCGGUGCAUGGAAGUGUGUCUUUCCCGAGCCCCUUUCCCAGGCUCCUGCUCUGCUUCCCACAGCUGAUCUGAGCAAGGACAUCAAAGGUGGAGAUUCCAAGGGGUCAGGAGCUCCUCAGCACGAUGUGGCCAGGCAGCUCCUCAGGCCCCUGGUACAUUGAGGAGCCACAGAAUAAACUCUAUAUGGCAGUUUACAGAGUUGUUGGGUGCAUUGGGGACCUUGUAGGACCCUGGUGGUACUAGUGGCUUUGGGUUCCUCUGAAGUUGGGCUGGAGCAGGACUCUGUCCCUCCCAAACUGCUUUGCCUA